ACUCCUACGGGAGGCAGCAGUGGGGAAUAUUGGGCAAUGGGGGAAAGCCUGAUCCAGCCAUGCCGGGUGAGUGAAGAAGGUUUUCGGAUUGUAAAGCACUUUAAGUCGGGAGGAAGGGCAGUAAGUUAAUACC
rnacentral:rRNA from 1 species